rnacentral:rRNA from 1 species
AUUGAACGCUGGCGGCAGGCUUAACACAUGCAAGUCGAGCGGUAACAGAGAGAAGCUUGCUUCUCUGCUGACGAGCGGCGGACGGGUGAGUAAUGCCUAAGAAUCUGCCUAGUAGUGGGGGAUAACUUGCCGAAAGGUAAGCUAAUACCGCAUACGUCCUACGGGAGAAAGGAGGGGACCUUCGGGCCUUUCGCUAUUAGAUGAGCCUAGGUCGGAUUAGUUAGUUGGUGAGGUAAUGGCUCACCAAGACCGCGAUCCGUAACUGGUCUGAGAGGAUGAUCAGUCACACUGGAACUGAGACACGGUCCAGACUCCUACGGGAGGCAGCAGUGGGGAAUAUUGGACAAUGGGGGGAACCCUGAUCCAGCCAUGCCGCGUGCGUGAAGAAGGUCUUAGGAUUGUAAAGCACUUUAAGUUGGGAGGAAGAGCAGUUAACUAAUAUUUGACUGUUUUGACGUUACCGACAGAAUAAGCACCGGCUAACUUCGUG